AGGUCUUACCGGUAGAAAUGUGGAGAAAACAAACUUUGUAAGGUGCAGCCAAGAACAAUCUCCUGCCUCGGCCACCUGAGUAGCUGGGAUUACAGGCAUGCACCACCAAGUCCAGCUAAUUUUUGUAUUUUUUUUAAAAAAAUCCAGUCUCAAAUUAUCCCCUUGCCUAUGACUAAUAUUAUUUGAUAUGAACUAAUUAUGAGUAAUUUUGAACCAAGAGCCACAAAGAGGCUCUUACUCAUGUUUUCUCUGAUGUCCAGCCACAGUCUCCGACGUCCAGGUGUUUCUCCUCUCUGCCAGCAGAACUUGGGGUUUUUAUGGGCACAGGAUUGGGGGUGGGGGCAGGAUGUGGCUGGUUUUGGAAAAGGCAACAUUCAAGCGGGAAAACAGAGAUAUACAUUUGUAAUAACAUUUAAAUAUAUAUAUGUGUAAUAUUAUGUAAUAUAAGCAUAUAAAUAUGAAUAUAGAGUAAACAUAUCAAGGAUAUAUGUGCAUUUGUAAUUAAUAUAUAAAAAAGUAUAAUAAAGUUCUGAUAACCUCUCUCCUCCUCACACAUGCACACAUAUACAUGCACACUCACAAGGAACAUGCUGA
rnacentral:lncRNA from 1 species